rnacentral:rRNA from 1 species
UACGGGGGGGGCAAGCGUUGUUCGGAAUUACUGGGCGUAAAGGGCUCGUAGGCGGCCAACUAAGUCAGACGUGAAAUCCCCCGGCUUAACCAGGGAACUGCGUCUGAUACUGGAUGGCUUGAGACCGGGAGAGGUGAGUGGAAUUCCCAGUGUAGCGGUGAAAUGCGUAGAUAUUGGGAGGAACACCGGUGGCGAAGGCGGCUUCCUGGACCGACACUGACGCUGAGGCGCGAAAGCUAGGGGAGCAAACGGG